rnacentral:lncRNA from 1 species
AGGCCAGACCCAUGAAAACAGUCCAUGAUCCGAAGGCUUCAAUAUUCCUCUCGAGAGCCAGGUUCAGCCCGCUCAGUCACAGAGCCGGACUCCGCCUAGACUCCUCAAUCAAACCGGCCCAAACCUCUCGGCCCAGUAAUCAGGCCCUCACCAAGCUCAACUUCAGCCCUACCAUUCAACCCAGCCCGGAAAGGGGAAAAUGACCAAGAUGCCCCGCUGGUAGGUCCUUCCGCAUGCGUAUCAGAG